GACGAACGCUGGCGGCGUGCUUAACACAUGCAAGUCGAACGGAAAGGCCCUGCUCUUGUGGGGUGCUCGAUUGGCGAACGGGUGAGUAACACGUGUGUAACCUGCCCUUGUCUUUGGGAUAACAUCAGGAAACUGGGGCUAAUAUAGGAUAGAAGAUCCUGAUCCAUGGUGGGGGUUGGAAAGUUGCGGCGGUUGGGGAUGGACUCGCGGCUUAUCCGCUUGUUUGUGGGGUAGUGGCUUACCAAGGCUUUGACGGGUAGCCGGCCUGAGAGGGUGACCGGCCACAUUGGGACUGAGAUACGGCCCAGACUCCUACGGGAGGCAGCAGGGGGGAAUAUUGCACAAUGGGCGGAAGCCUGAUGCAGCAACGCCGCGUGCGGGAUGACGGCCUUCGGGUUGUAAACCGCUUUCGCCUGUGACGAAGCGUGAGUGACGGUAAUGGGUAAAGAAGCACCGGCUAACUACGUG
rnacentral:rRNA from 1 species